GCCUACGGGGGGCAGCAGUAGGGAAUCUUCCACAAUGGGCGAAAGCCUGAUGGAGCAACGCCGCGCGGGUGAAGAAGGUCUUCGGAUCGUAAAACCCUGUUGUUAGAGAAGAAAGUGCGUGAGAGUAACUGUUCACGUUUCGACGGUAUCUAACCAGAAAGCCACGGCUAACUGCGUGCCAGCAGCCGCGGUAAUACGUAGGUGGCAAGCGUUAUCCGGAUUUAUUGGGCGUAAAGGGAACGCAGGCGGUCUUUUAAGUCUGAUGUGAAAGCCUUCGGCUUUACCGGAGUAGUGCAUUGGAAACU
rnacentral:rRNA from 1 species